rnacentral:rRNA from 1 species
UGAGGAAUAUUGCGCAAUGGGCGAAAGCCUGACGCAGCGACGCCGCGUGGGGGAUGAAGGCCUUCGGGUUGUAAACCCCUUUCGGGAGGGAAGAUGGGGCGGGCAACCGCUCGGACGGUACCUCCAGAAGCAGCCACGGCUAACUCUGUGCCAGCAGCCGCGGUAAGACAGAGGUGGCAAGCGUUGUUCGGAUUUACUGGGCGUAAAGAGUGCGUAGGUGGUUAGGUAAGACCUGUGGGAAAUCCCUGGGCUCAACCCAGGAAGGUCGCAGGUGACUGCCUGGCUGGAGGACGGGAGAGGAGGGCGGAAUUCCCGGUGUAGCGGUGAAAUGCGUAGAGAUCGGGAAGAAGGCCGGUGGCGAAGGCGGCUCUCUGGAACGUUCCUGACACUGAGGCACGAAAGCGUGGGGAGCAAACAG